rnacentral:misc_RNA from 1 species
GUGUAUGAUUAAAAAUGAUAAUUCGCAUUGUCAAGACCAUAUAGGCACUUGAUAAGAAAGUGACAUACAGGAUAAAAAUAACAGGUGAAUUAUGCUAAAGAAAAACACGGAAAGGUGUUUUGCAAAGGGAAUAUAGUGAUUGUUCAAUCAAUACCUGUAGUAUUUAUAGCGAUGACGUAAAUAUAUUAGGUAUCACAUUAUAUACGUGAAGUGACAGCCAGACAGCAAAGCGGAGAGCUGAUGUACUGGUAGGCUAUCGUUGACUUAAAAAUACACAAAAAUAUAAUAAGAGAGUUUAAAGGGUUAAAAAAUGUCACAAAAGAGCUGAUUGAAUGUCAAGAAAAAGAUGCGCAAAAGAAUAUUGCGCAACUGGGGAUUUCCACUGUUCAUUCAUAGCGACGAUUUAAAGGGGGAUAUUUUAUUGCGCAGUUUGUCUGAGAUGACAACCAGACAGACAUGAAAAGAUCUCUUGCAAAUGUCAGCGACAUUUUAGAAAUACCACCGUGAACAGUUCUGAGAGAUACUAGAGUGGGACGCAUUUCCUACUAGCAAUGCUGUUGUCUAACACAGAGAAAUCCAUCGGUCGUUUUCGGCAAAGCUCGACUGUGAUGGAAUAUUCAAAGCCUCAAUUUCGGCACAAUGAGCUGAUAGUCGAUUUGGACGACAGCAUCACACCGUCUGUGUUAGGAAAGUUGAAACAACUGUCAAAAGGUGUUUAUUUAAAGCCGAAAGAACUCGAGUUUUGCGACACCCGUGGCUUCCUUAAUGCUCUAGAAGAUAAAUGUUAUAUAGGCGUUGGGCGCUAUGAUAAUCUUAAGGAACUGUUGAAAAAAGCUGGGGUUGCAAGACUUGUCCAAGAUGUUGAAAAAGCUGAGGAUGACAUAAAGGAAAUGGAGAGGACAGUCUUUCACGAUGAUCCUGCCCAUGUGAAAGCCUUCAAAGUGCAUUACGAUGAUAUCUGCGCAACACUCCGGAAAGGUUCAACAUUUGCUGAUGUUACAGAAAUUCUUAAACGUCAAAAAAUCCUAGGCAGACAGCAUCAAAUAGUGGGUCCUACUCCUCUGGCAGCGCGGGAACUGUUGAAUAUUGUCAUGGAUAAAAGAAACAAGGGUUUAAGAGCAAUGAGAGUCUUGGCUUGUGCACUAUGGGAUGCAGGUCACCUGAAGUUGGCAUGUGAUAUACUGACUACACAGUACUCAUGGGAAAGAGGAGCAGGCCGUGAUGUUCGGAUCCCUAGCAGUAAGAGGCAAAUACUAAGUGGAUACUUACAGAUAACCGAAAACCUCUCAGAACCAGACCUUGAUCGUGUGCUUGACCAUCUCGUCAGUCAAGGCAAGGUCAGUGAGGAUGAAAGAGCCACCAUACUUCAGCAGCCAUCGAGAAUGGAGAAAGUACAGGAGAUGCUGGACACUGUACUCUCAGUGGACAGGGAGGGAGCUGGGUGGGCUCUUAUGGAUGGCUUGGCACAUGCAGGGCAGCAUGGCCUGGCAAGUGUGAUGAUGUCUUGGACAAUUAGUUGGAUGGAACUGGAAUUGCUUCUUGUUGGAAAGUACAAGACCAAAAUAUUGAGUAGCAGCUCCCUGAAUAGAGACAAUGACCUGGAUGUGAGGAGAGGACAGCAACUGCCACGUAUGGCAGCUGGUGAGCGUGUAACAUCCUGGAAUGUGAGUGACUCCGGACAUGGUGAACUUACAAAGACGGCAAUCUGUGGCCAGUGGGCUUUCUCCAGUGAUGAACCUGGACAGAGGGAAUGGAGAGGCCACAAGGCAGUCAUAGACGUGGAAACAGUGGAAGAGGUUUUAGGAGACCAUGCUAGGAAGGGAAAGCAAACAGCACAGGAGACUUUGGCCAGCAUACCAGAUCUUCCAGAGAGCAGCUUAUUCAUACUCAAUGCCAUGAAACGUCCUGAUCUGAAAAAAAAGUGGAAGUGCUUGCUGUCUGGCGAAUGUUUUCCAGGCGCUAAGGUUCUCCUUUUUGAGGGCAGUGAUGGGAAGGCUGUACCACUGGGUGCAGUAAAAAGAAAUGUUAAACAAGGUUGUAAUUUAGCGGAAUUGCAGUGGUCUCAUCUGGGAAAGAUUCUGAGUGACUGUUACAGAGACAAACUGCGCAAUAUCAGCAUCAGCGAUGGACUCACAGAUUUGGUGUCAAGAAAACGACGUAUGUCUACCAGAUCACAGGCAACAACUCUGCCACGCAUGCGCCUUGACGAACGUGUGUUCUCCUGGGAGGCAAUGGAUUCCGAACAUGGUGAACUGUUGAAGACCGUGAUCUGUUGGCAGUGGGCUAACUCCAGCAAUGAACCUGGACAGAGGGAAUGGGGAGGACACAAGGCAGUCAUCGACUUGGAAAUAUUGGAUGAUAUUUCAGGGGAGUCAAAGGAGACGGUACUUAAAGUCUUGGAUGUCAUACCAGAUGAAACGUUAUUCAUCCUCAACACGAUGACACACCAGGAUCUGAAAACCAAAUGGAGUCUACUGCUGUCAGGCAAACUUCUUCCUGACGCUAAGGUUCUACUUAUUGAGGAACGUGAUGGCGAAGGAAUGUCGCGUGAUAGAGUGAAGAGAAAACAGGAUUCCACAGAAACUAGUGGGGAACCAACAGGAGACCGCAGUGCAAAGAAGCAACGGAGCACCAUUUUAUAGACGAAGACACAGAGGGUCGGCAUUUCAAAGUGGAAGUGAUGCACCAUUUUAUAGAGAAUUAAAAGUAUUUUACCAUCUUGGGUCAAGAAAAGGAAUAUGAGGAAAAAAGAUAUGGUCAUAUAUAUAUAUAUAUAUAUAUAUAUAUAUAUAUUAGUUAAGAUCUCGAAUAAGAACUACCAGCAAUGUCCCAUCGAGGCCAAAAAUCGGUCGCGUGCGGACGGCACGUACAUGUACAAUAAUUGGCUGCGUGAUUGUAAAAAGUCUGUAACGUUUUUUUUUUUUUUACAGCAAGACCAGGCGCAGCUUAUUUUGAUUAAUUUUCUGGUGCAGUUCAUAAGCAUGCUUUUGCUUUUUUUCGGUAGUUUAUUCAACCUAAUCAUACCGGCAUGUUUUGCAUCAGAUUCCUAACAAACGUUAUAUUAAUCUCGUUUAGACGUUAGAAAGUGCCAAGUGGGUGUUUUCCGUAUGACUUGUUGUCGAUACAACAUAUAUGCACGUGUACCAUAUAUAUGAACGUGUACCACUAAAUAGAUUUUCAAAUAUUAUUAUCGUCAAAACAUACUAUGUCACUUUUUUCUGAAAAAAAGAAAAGAAACAGCGAUAAAUAUUUUAACCCCUUUCCGGCAUGUACAUGUACCUCAAUAUGCACAAGCACGGAAAAAGAACAUGUUUAGAGCGACCCUUACCAAACUUCACUUUUUCUUAACUGCAGCAUGAGGAGUAUAGAGCACAUUAUUCAUCAUCAGAUUUUAUGGAGAAAAGGUGUAAUUCCCACUUACUGCAAAAUUGCUGUGGUCUCUCCUGAAAAAGAUUCUAAGUGAGUGUUACAGAGCCAAACUGCUCAAUAUCAGCAUCAACGAUGUACUCGCUGAUCUGGUGUCGAGAAAACGACGUACAUGUAUGUCAACCAGGGUCCCGCAACUCGAAAGCAUCGCGUAUUGCGAAUAGCGAUAUCACACAGAG